UCUACAUUAAUUUCCAAUUUUAUAUUGCACAAUAAAAAGUAAAUAUCUGUAGAGGUGAAAUACCAUACGAAUUUUAUUAUAUCUGGUUUUUUAAAAAGGUAUCAGUACUUUAAUUUUUUUAAGGUUAAGCUUUUAAAAUAAAUUUCUCCGUAAUUUUUUACAUAUUUAAGAUUAAUAGUGUCUAAAAGUGUAACAACUAAUACCACAAUCUUAAUUUCAUACUAAUAUGAAAACCAAAUUCAAUUUUAAAAAUGAUUUUAUUAGUAAACAAUUUAUUUUUAUACUUUAAUUAAAAAUUCCUACACUUAUAUAUAUAUAUCUUUAUCUUAUGAACUAGGCCCUUAUUUAUUGACUGUUUAUCAAAAACAUUUCUAAAUGUAAUUAUAUUUAGUAAGACCUGCUCAAUGAUAUUUAAAUUGCGGCAAUUUAAAUGUCCUAAGGUAGCAUAAUCAUUUGCCUUUUAAUUUAAGGCUAGAAUGAAUGGUUUAACAUAUAAAUAUCUUUAUUAUUUGAAUCUAUUGAAAUUUUCCUAAAAGCAAAAAGACUUUUAUAAAUUAAGGGGGACGACAAGACCCUAUUGAGCUUCACUUUAGUUGAACUGGGGCGGUAAAAAAUAAAAUCUUUAUAAAUUUAUAUAAAAACUUUAAAUAAAAUAGACAAGUUACCAUAGGGAUAACAGCAUAAUUUUUUCCUAAAGUCCCUUAUAAAAGAAAAAGAUUAUGACCUCGAUGUUGAAUUAAUUUAUC
rnacentral:rRNA from 1 species